UAACGUUGGUUCCAGGCAUCUGGAAGAACCAUUAGUCCUGUGGUGGAAAAAUCACCAUGUGCAAGCUGAGAUCCAUGGACUUCAAAGACAACAUAAACUAUUCUGCAAUAUUGGUUAUUUUACAGUGGUUUUUUUUUGUUUGUUUGUUUUUCCUUUUUUAAUAUUGAGUGCGUACCUUGAGAUAAUUCCUGUUCAUUGUGCUUUUAGAGACAACCUUUCUACUCUAAAUGACAG
rnacentral:lncRNA from 1 species